rnacentral:rRNA from 1 species
UACGAAGGGGGCUAGCGUUGCUCGGAAUUACUGGGCGUAAAGGGCGCGCAGGCGGACAUUUAAGUUAGAGGUGAAAGCCCAGGGCUCAACCCUGGAAUAGCCUUUAAUACUGGAUGUCUUGAGUUCGGGAGAGGUGAGUGGAAUGCCGAGUGUAGAGGUGAAAUUCGUAGAUAUUCGGCGGAACACCAGUGGCGAAGGCGACUCACUGGCCCGAUACUGACGCUGAGGCGCGAAAGCGUGGGGAGCAAACAGG